AGGCGAGUAGCUCAGUUGGUAGAGUCCUGGUCUCCAAAACCAGUUGUCGCGGGUUCGAGUCCUGCCUCGCCUG
rfam:Treponema saccharophilum DSM 2985 Tsacc_Contig239, whole genome shotgun sequence.